CCNUUGUAGGCUUUGGAAACUGUUUAACUNGAGUGCAGAAGGGGAGAGUGGAAUUCCAUGUGUAGCGGUGAAAUGCGUAGAUAUAUGGAGGAACACCGGUGGCGAAAGCGGCUCUNUGGUCUGUAACUGACGCUGAGGCUCGAAAGCGUGGGGAGCGAACAGGAUUAGAUACCCUGGUAGUNCACGCCGUAAACGAUGAGUGCUAGGUGUUAGGUCCUUUCCGGGACUUAGUGCCGCAGCUAACGCAUUAAGCACUCCGCCUGGGGAGUACGACCGCAAGGUUGAAACUCAAAGGAAUUGACGGGGGCCCGCACAAGCGGUGGAGCAUGUGGUUUAAUUCGAAGCAACGCGAAGAACCUUACCAGGUCUUGACAUCCCGAUGCCCGCUCUAGAGAUAGAGCUUUACUUCGGUACAUCGGUGACAGGUGGUGCAUGGUUGUCGUCAGCUCGUGUCGUGAGAUGUUGGGUUAAGUCCCGCAACGAGCGCAACCCUUAUUGUUAGUUGCCAUCAUUCAGUUGGGCACUCUAGCGAGACUGCCGGUAAUAAACCGGAGGAAGGUGGGGAUGACGUCAAAUCAUCAUGCCCCUUAUGACCUGGGCUACACACGUGCUACAAUGGCUGGUACAACGAGUCGCAAGCCGGUGACGGCAAGCUAAUCUCUGAAAGCCAGUCUCAGUUCGGAUUGUAGGCUGUAACUCGCCUACAUGAAGUCGGAAUCGCUAGUAAUCGCGGAUCAGCACGCCGCGGUGAAUACGUUCCCGGGCCUUGUACACACCGCCCGUCACACCACGAGAGUUUGUAACACCCGAAGUCGGU
rnacentral:rRNA from 1 species